AGAUGUGAGGGGGAUUUGGCUGUGACACCUGUCACCACAUUGAUCACCAGGGCUGAUCGAGCUGAUCCGGCUGGCUAGGCGGGCAUCCCCUUCCUCCCUCACUGCUCCAUGUGCGUCCCUCCCGGAGCUGCACACUCAGUCAAAGAGGACGGACUUCCCUGAACAGAGAUGCACUGGUGUUCAGCUGAGGGUCUAUAAUUAGCUGUGCUCCCCUGCUAGAACCUCUAAACAAGCUCUCUACUGAGCCAGCAAAACUUUGAGCAUGUGACUGAACUUGCUCAACCCCAGAAAUAUCAGCAGAAUAUUGGGGUAAUAGUAGCUAC
ensembl:misc_RNA 7SK 7SK RNA